rnacentral:rRNA from 1 species
UACGUAGGUGGCAAGCGUUGUCCGGAAUUACUGGGUGUAAAGCGCGUGUAGGCGGCAGACCAAGUCGGCGGUGAAAGCGCCCGGCUCAACUGGGCGAGGUCCGUGGAAACUGGUCAGCUGGAGGACGGUAGAGGCGAGUGGAAUUCCCAGUGUAGAGGUGAAAUUCGUAGAUAUUGGGAAGAACACCGGUGGCGAAGGCGGCUCACUGGCUCGUAACUGACGCUCAUGCACGACAGCGUGGGGAUCAAACAGG